GACGAACGCUGGCGGCGUGCUUAACACAUGCAAGUCGAGCGGAAAGGCCCUUUCGGGGGUACUCGAGCGGCGAACGGGUGAGUAACACGUGAGUAAUCUGCCCUGGACUCUGGGAUAGCCGCCGGAAACGGUGAUUAAUACCGGAUAUGACACCUUGCUGCAUGGUGGGGUGUGGAAAGUUUUUUCGGUCCAGGAUGUGCUCGCGGCCUAUCAGCUUGUUGGUGAGGUAAUGGCUCACCAAGGCUUUGACGGGUAGCCGGCCUGAGAGGGUGACCGGUCACACUGGGACUGAGACACGGCCCAGACUCCUACGGGAGGCAGCAGUGGGGAAUAUUGGACAAUGGGCGGAAGCCUGAUCCAGCAACGCCGCGUGAGGGAUGACGGCCUUCGGGUUGUAAACCUCUUUCAGUACCGACGAAGCGUGAGUGACGGUAGGUACAGAAGAAGGACCGGCCAACUACGUGCCAGCCGCCGCUGUAAAAC
rnacentral:rRNA from 1 species